GAUGAACGCUGGCGGCGUGCCUAAUACAUGCAAGUCGAGCGAACAGACGAGGAGCUUGCUCCUCUGACGUUAGCGGCGGACGGGUGAGUAACACGUGGAUAACCUACCUAUAAGACUGGGAUAACUUCGGGAAACCGGAGCUAAUACCGGAUAAUAUAUUGAACCGCAUGGUUCAAUAGUGAAAGACGGUUUUGCUGUCACUUAUAGAUGGAUCCGCGCCGCAUUAGCUAGUUGGUAAGGUAACGGCUUACCAAGGCAACGAUGCGUAGCCGACCUGAGAGGGUGAUCGGACACACGGGAACUGAGACACGGUACAGACUCCUACGGGAGGCAGCAGUAGGGAAUCUUCCGCAAUGGGCGAAAGCAUGACGGAGCAACGCCGCGUGAGUGAUGAAGGUCUUCGGAUCGUAAAACUCUGUUAUUAGGGAAGAACAAAUGUGUAAGUAACUAUGCACGUCUUGACGGUACCUAAUCAGAAAGCCACGGCUAACUACGUG
rnacentral:rRNA from 1 species